UACAGAGAUGGCAACCGUUGUUCGGAAUCACUGGGCUUAAAGCGCACGUAGGCGGGAUGGUAAGUUGAUUGUGAAAGCCCCUGGCUUACCCAGGGAAUUGCAGUCAAAACUGCUGUCCUUGAGUACGGAAGGGGAGAGUGGAACUCCUAGUGGAGCGGUGAAAUGCGUUGAUAUUAGGAGGAACGCCGGUGGCGAAAGCGACUCUCUGGUCCGUUGCUGACGCUCAGGUGCGAAAGCUAGGGGAGCAAACGGG
rnacentral:rRNA from 1 species